CCACAAUUUUACCAAAAAAAGGCCAUUAUAGCUUAAUUUUGCUUACCCGCUCACUUCCAAAAAAAUCCCGCUCACUCCCAAACUCCCUCUUCUUCUCAUCUAUGUCGCUCGCCCUGAAUCCCCCAAAUAAAAUUUAGCUACUCUUUUUCUCUCGUUACUGUUUUUCUCUCGAUCCUUCGUUUCUUUUCACUGUCUAGAUAUAUCCGCCUCUCUCAUCUUCCAUUUUUUAUACGGUUGGUUGUUGUUGAAGAAGUACUACUACCAUGGCUACAAAGAAAAGUGUUGGGGACUUGAAGGAAGCUGAUUUGAAGGGAAAGAAAGUGUUUGUUAGAGUCGAUCAGAACGUUCCAUACAGAUGACACAAGGAUCCGUGCUGCUGUUCCCACCAUCAAGUAUUUGAUGGGUCAUGGCUCUAAAGUCAUCCUCUUUAGUCAUUUGCAAUAGUUCAUCUAAAACUAUAUAAUUGCUUUGGCGAAUGUUAAGGAUGAGCAACCAGAAGUACAAGGACCAGCAGUUUUGGUCUCAACUGAAAGAGUAUCAACUAUCAGUCCAAUUGGUAUUUCUCUGUGUGUGUAUGAUUUCGCCUGGCAUUGAAGAAUUAGUCAAGAAGCUGAAGGCAAGGAAUACCGAUGUUUAUCUAAUUUCCGAGGGCUUCCGCCAAAUGAUCAAUCCUGUUGCAUCAAUCCUUGGAAUUCAGCAAGAAAACAGUUUUUGGGAUUUGAUGCUAAUGAGCUCACUUCGAGGAGUAGAGGAAAAGCUACUGCUGUUCAAAAAAUAAGAAAGGCUAAGGGAUACAAGGCAUUAGACAUGAUUGGUGAUGGUGCUACUGAUCUUGAGCUGAAGAUGGUUCUUCAUCAGUAGCUGUGGAUUUGCAGCAACUUAAUUUGCAUAAUGUGAUUUGCCAAGCAAAAUCUGGAAUGGGGAAAACAGCUGUUUUUGUUCUAUCAACUCUUCAGCAAAUUGAACCUGUUGCUGGGCAAGCUGCUGCACUUGUUCUAUGUCACACUAGAGAAUUAGCGUACCAGAGUUUCCGAGUAGUACAACUGCUGAGUCAUGUUUUGGUGCUGCAAUCAAGGUACAUAUUAUGCACAGCCUUUUCAAUGACUUCUGCAUUAACAGACUGGAGUAGUAUACAAAAAUCCUUUAGGCACUUUCAGACUAUUCAAAUCUAUAAUAUUUUUUCCCCUCUGUUUGUAGAUUCAUUGGCAUCUUGUCUUAAUGAGAGUGUAGUUUAUGAAGUUUAAACUUUGCAUUGUCCUCCAAGGUAUUAGAAUUCCUAGUUCAAAACUUAGCAAUUUGUCUUUUAUAAAAGACCUUUGCAUUUUCAGUGUUGUUUAGGUUUGCAAACAAGAUGUUGUAUUUGGACUUGUUGUAUUUUAUUUAUAUUUAUAUUUAAUCUAAUUUUUAUUAUUUAUUUUA